rnacentral:rRNA from 1 species
AGUGAACGCUGGCGGUAGGCCUAACACAUGCAAGUCGAACGGCAGCACAGUAAGAGCUCGCUCUUACGGGUGGCGAGUGGCGGACGGGUGAGGCAUACAUCGGAAUCUACUUUUUCGUGGGUGAUAACGUAGGGACACUUACGCUACUACCGCAUACGACCUACGGGAGAAAGCAGGAGAUCUUCGGACCUUGCGCGAUUCAAUGAGCCGGUGUCGGAUUAGCUAGUUGGCGAGGUAACGGCUCACCAAGGCAACGAUGCGUAGCUGACCUGAGAGGAUGAUCGGCCACACUGGAACUGAGACACGGGCCAGACUCCUACGGGAGGCAGCAGUAGGGAAUCUUCCGCAAUGGGCGAAAGCCUGACGGAGCAACGCCGCGUGAGUGAUGAAGGUCUUCGGAUCGUAAAACUCUGUUAUUAGGGAAGAACAAAUGUGUAAGUAACUAUGCACGUCUUGACGGUACCUAAUCAGAAAGCCACGGCUAACUACGUG